UGGCUCAGUGGUAGAGCGCUUGCCUUGCAUGCAUGAGGCUCUGGGUUCGAUUCACAU
rnacentral:tRNA from 1 species